AUGCUCGCUGCAGGGGUCAGAGGUCAGGGCGAGCGUCUCGCGGGCCGUAGGAGGAAGAUGGCGGUGGAGUCGCGCGUUACCCAGGAGGAAAUUAAGAAGGAGCCAGAGAAACCGAUCGACCGCGAGAAGACAUGCCCACUGUUGCUGCGGGUCUUCACCACCAAUAAAGGCUGCCACCACCGAAUGGACGAGUUCUCCCGGGGAAAUGUACCGUCCAGCGAGUUGCAGACCUACACUUGGAUGGAUGCAACCUUGAAAGAACUGACAAGCUUAGUAAAGAAGUCUACCCAGAAGCUAGAAAGAAGGGCACUCACUUCAAUUUUGCAAUUGUUUUUACUGAUGUGAAAAGACCCGACUAUCGAGUUAAGGAGAUUAGCAGCACCAUGCCUGGCAGAAAGGGGACUGAUGAUUCCAUGACCCUGCAGUCGCAGAAGUUCCAGAUAGGAGAUUACUUGGACAUAGCAAUUACCCCUCCAAGUCGGGCACCACCUCCUUCAGGGCGCAUGAGACCAUAUUAAAUUCUAUUUACAAUUUCUUGAAUUUAUUUUUCCGUCAGUUAUGUACAAUAAACUUACUCUUUUUCC